UGUGACGGCGUGCCUUUUGCAUAAUGAUCCUACGAGUUACCGUCACUGGCGAGGUUGAGUGUCACGAGACACGUAGCCGCAGUGAAAGCGAGCCUGAAGAGGGCGCACAGUCAGUGGGGGUAGACGCGAAACCAAGUGAUCUACACUUGGCCAGGAUGAAGUCCCGGUAACACGGGAUGGAGGUCCGCACCAAUAAGCGUUGAAAAGCUUCUGGAUGAGCCGAGUGUAGGAGUGAAAGGCCAAUCAAACUUGGAGAUAGCUCGUACUCCCCGAAAGGCAUUUAGGUGCCGCGUCGGAUGGUCACCGUGAGAGGUAGAGCGACCGAUAGGACAAGAGGGCUUCACCGCCUAUCGAGUCCUGACGAACUCCGAAUGCUCACGGUCUGCAGUCCGGCAGUAAGGGGGCGGGUGCUAAGGUCCGUCCCCGAGAGGAGAAGAAUCCAGACCGCCGUCUAAGGUCCCGGAGUUCUGCCUGAGUUAGUCUAACGAAGUCUGGUCCCUAUGACAGCUAGGAUGUUGGCUUGGAAGCAGCCAUUCAUUCAAAGAGUGCGUAACAGCUCACUAGUCGAGGGUCCGGGCAUGGAUAAUAAUCGGGUAUAAGGCAGACACCGAAGGCGCGGGAUAGCAAUUUUAAAAGUAUCGGUAGGGGAGCAUACUCACAGCGUCGAAUGGUGUACGUAAGUUAUCCUGGAGCGGUGAGUAAAGCAAAUGUAGGAAUAAGUAACGAUAAGGAGGGUUAGAUUCCCUCCCGCUGUAAGACCAAGGUUUCCCGGGCAAUGCCAAUCAGCCCGGGGUCAGUCGGGUCCUAAGUCUAAGCCGAACGGCGAUGGCGAUGGCAGAGACGGUUAAUAUUCCGUCACUGCCGCAUGGGGCGACGUGGAGACGGAGCAGUGAAACCACCGCGGGGCGACGGAAGUCCCCGUUGAAGAGUGUAGGUGUUGAGGAUGGCAGGCAAAUCCACCAUCCGAGCUGAACUUGAUAGUAUGGAGUCUUCUUCGGAAGAAUCCAAUAGUGUGGGUAAUCAUACUCCCGAGAAAAUCCGCUAAGCUUAACCCAUGCGGCACCCGU
rnacentral:rRNA from 1 species